AUUGAACGCUGGCGGCAGGCCUAACACAUGCAAGUCGAACGGCAGCACAGAAGAGCUUGCUCUUUGGGUGGCGAGUGGCGGACGGGUGAGUAAUGUCUGGGAAACUGCCCGAUGGAGGGGGAUAACUACUGGAAACGGUAGCUAAUACCGCAUAACGUCGCGAGACCAAAGUGGGGGACCUUCGGGCCUCACACCAUCGGAUGUGCCCAGAUGGGAUUAGCUAGUAGGUGGGGUAAUGGCUCACCUAGGCGACGAUCCCUAGCUGGUCUGAGGGGAUGAGCAGCCACACUGGAACUGAGACACGGUCCAGACUCCUACGGGAGGCAGCAGUGGGGAAUAUUGCACAAUGGGCGCAAGCCUGAUGCAGCCAUGCCGCGUGUAUGAAGAAGGCCUUCGGGUUGUAAAGUACUUUCAGCGGGGAGGAAGGCGGUGAGGUUAAUAACCUCGCCGAUUGACGUUACCCGCAGAAGAAGCACCGGCUAACUCCGUGCCAGCAGCCGCCGCCG
rnacentral:rRNA from 1 species